UACGUAGGGUGCGAGCGUUGUCUGGAUUUAUUGGGCGUAAAGGGCUCGUAGGCGGCGUGUCGCGUCGGGAGGGAAAGACCGGGGCUUAACCCCGGUUCUGCUUCCGGUACGGGCAUGCUGGAGUGUGGCAGGGGAGACUGGAAUUCCUGGUGUAGCGGUGGAAUGCGCAGAUAUCAGGAGGAACACCGGUGGCGAAGGCGGGUCUCUGGGCCAUUACUGACGCUGAGGAGCGAAAGCGUGGGGAGCGAACAGG
rnacentral:rRNA from 1 species